CUUUUUUAUCUCGACUGAGCCAAAUAUGAUUUGACUCAUCCAGAGAAUCUUGAGAAGAUUUCUCAUAGUCUGACUGGAGUUAGUCCAGCUCAAAAAGGAUAUAUCUUAAUUCAUGAGAUGAAUUUAAGAUAACAUCUGCCAAUUCUUGUCACCUGCCAUUUUCGUUUUAGGACAUCGAUCAAACAUUGACUUAUGGAUCUUGAACUGAAGGUCACUUGGCAAG
rnacentral:lncRNA from 1 species